rnacentral:tRNA from 1 species
UCUAAUAUGGCAGACCAAGUGCGUUGGACUUAAACCCCAAAAAUAAAGCUUAAACUUUUUUUAGAA